rnacentral:rRNA from 1 species
GACGUAGGAUGCAAGCGUUGUCCGGAUUUAUUGGGCGUAAAGAGUUCGUAGGCGGUUCGUUAAGUCUGAUGUUAAAUAACAGGGCUCAACCCUGAGAAUGCAUUGGAUACUGGCGGACUGGAGUGCAGUAGAGGCAAGUGGAAUUCCCAGUGUAGCGGUGAAAUGCGUAGAUAUUGGGAAGAACACCGGUGGCGCAAGCGACUUGCUGGGCUGUAACUGACGCUGAGGAACGAAAGCUAGGGGAGCGAAUGG